GACGAACGCUGGCGGCGUGCCUAAUACAUGCAAGUUGAGCGCUGAAGGUUGGUACUUGUACCAACUGGAUGAGCAGCGAACGGGUGAGUAACGCGUGGGGAAUCUGCCUUUGAGCGGGGGACAACAUUUGGAAACGAAUGCUAAUACCGCAUAAAAACUUUAAACACAAGUUUUAAGUUUGAAAGAUGCAAUUGCAUCACUCAAAGAUGAUCCCGCGUUGUAUUAGCUAGUUGGUGAGGUAAAGGCUCACCAAGGCGAUGAUACAUAGCCGACCUGAGAGGGUGAUCGGCCACAUUGGGACUGAGACACGGCCCAAACUCCUACGGGAGGCAGCAGUAGGGAAUCUUCGGCAAUAGACGAAAGUCUGACCGAGCAACGCCGAGUGAGUGAAGAAGGUUUUCGGAUCGUAAAACUCUGUUGGUAGAGAAGAACGUUGGUGAGAGUGGAAAGCUCAUCAAGUGACGGUAACUACCCAGAAAGGGACGGCUAACUACGUG
rnacentral:rRNA from 1 species